rnacentral:rRNA from 1 species
AGACGUCUACAUUAGACUACCCCGGUAGUCCCAGCCGUAAACUAUGCGCGUUAGGUGUAUCGGUGACCACGAGUUACCGAGGUGCCGAAGGGAACCGUGAAACGUGCCGCCUGGGAAGUACGGUCGCAAGGCUGAAACUUAAAGGAAUUGGCGGGGGAGCACCACAACAGGUGGAGCCUGCGGUUUAAUUGGACUCAACGCCGGGAAGCUCACCGGAUAGGACAGCAGAAUGAUUGCCGGGCUGAAGACCCUGCAUGACUAGCUG